rnacentral:lncRNA from 1 species
AUGUGUUUCAGCUAUUUGUUCCCAACUAUUUGUUCCCAACUAUGUGUUUCAGCUAUUUGUUCCCAGCUAUUUGUUCCCAACUAUGUGUUUCAGCUAUUUGUUCCCAGCUAUUUGUUCCCAACUAUGUGUUUCAGCUAUUUGUUCCCAACUAUGUGUUUCAGCUAUUUGUUCCCAGCUAUUUGUUCCCAACUAUGUGUUUCAGCUAUUUGUUCCCAGCCAUUUGUUCCCAACUAUGUGUUUCAGCUAUUUGUUCCCAACUAUUUGUUCCCAACUAUGUGUUUCAGCUAUUUGUUCCCAACUAUGUGUUUCAGCUAUUUGUUCCCAGCUAUUUGUUCCCAACUAUGUUUCAGCUAUUUGUUCCCAACUAUUUGUUCCCAACUAUGUGUUUCAGCUAUUUGUUCCCAGCUAUUUGUUCCCAACUAUGUGUUUCAGCUAUUUGUUCCCAGCUAUUUGUUCCCAACUAUGUGUUUCAGCUAUUUGUUCCCAACUAUUUGUUCCCAACUAUGUGUUUCAGCUAUUUGUUCCUGGCUAUUUGUUCCCAACUAUGUGUUUCAGCUAUUUGUUCCCGGCUAUUUGUUCCCAGCUAUGUGUUUCAGCUAUUUGUUCCCGGCUAUUUGUUCCCAGCUAUGUGUUUCAGCUAUUCGUUCCCGGCUAUUUGUUCCCAGCUAUGUGUUUCAGCUAUUUGUUCCCAGCUAUGUGUUUCAGCUAUUUGUUCCCGGCUAUUUGUUCCCAACUAUGUGUUUCAGUUAUUUGUUCCCAGCUAUUUGUUACCAGCUAUUUGUUUCAAAAUAUUUGUUCCCAGCUAUUUGUUCCCAACUAUGUGUUUCAGCUAUUUGUUCCCGGCUAUUUGUUCCCAGCUAUGUGUUUCAGCUAUUUGUUCCCGGCUAUUUGUUCCCAGCUAUGUGUUUCAGCUAUGUGUUUCAGCUAUUUGUUCCCGGCUAUUUGUUCCCAACUAUGUGUUUCAGUUAUUUGUUCCCAGCUAUUUGUUACCAGCUAUUUGUUUCAAAAUAUUUGUUCCCAGCUAUUUGUUCCCAGCUAUUUGUUCCAACUAUGUGUUUCAGCUAUUUGUUACCUGGCUAUUUGUUCCCAACUAUUUGUUCCCGGUUAUUUAUUCCCAACUAUGUGUUUCAGCUAUUUGUUACCAGCCAUGUGUUCCCAGCUAUUUGUUCCCAGCUAUGUUCCCAACUAUUUGUUCCCAGCUAUUUGUUCCCAACUAUUUGUUACCAGCUAUGUGUUUCAGUUAUUUGUUACCAGCUAUUUGUUUCAAAAUAUUUGUUACCAGCUAUUUGUUUCAAAAUAUUUGUUACCAGCUAUUUGUUCCCAACUAUUUGUUCCCAACUAUGUGUUUCAGCUAUUUGUUACCAGCCAUGUGUUCCCAGCUAUUUGUUCCCAGCUAUGUUCCCAACUAUUUGUUACCAGCUAUUUGUUACCAGCUAUUUGUUCCCAGCUAUUUGUUCCAGCUAUUUGUUUUGGGCUAUGCACGUAUGUCAGAUUUGUGCUUUUGUGUUGCAACCAAACAAUAAUUCUUACAUCCUUAUCCUCAAACUAAUUGUGAUGAUAGUCAUGCAGGGUCAAUGUUUGAACGCAAUGCAGUUGCAGCACAGUGUGCCACAGCUAUCACAUGUACAGAACAAAAUGCAGGCAGUCACUAUUUAUGCUACAGCCAUCAGCAUGCCUAGAGUCUUCACCACAAAAACACCCACAAUGUUCGUGGUGAGAGAGAAACAAGCAGAAAAUCCUGCAACCAGUAUAGACUGUAAUUGUAUAUGUCUGUGUGUGGGUAGGAGCAAGUGUACUGGCAGAGUCACAGAGGAAAUUGAUGUGAAAGUGUGA